rnacentral:lncRNA from 1 species
UAGUCAUGAAGAUUUUGCGUGAGAAAGGCUAGAGAGUAUAGUGGGAAAAUCUCAGCUCCCCUUUGAACUCCUGGGCUCAAGUGAUCCUCCCACCAUAAUCUUCCAGGUAGCUGGGACCACAGUGUGCAAAGAGCUUCAAUGUGCCAAGCAUUUUAGAUGCAUUAACUUGAUUCAUCUUCACAAAACCCCUAUGCAUCGUUGAUAUUUUAUUGCCAAUUUCAAGAUUGAAGAACUGAGAAUCAAAGAAUCAGCUCUCUUUUCCAAGGUCACACAGCUAAUAAAGUCAGGAUUUGAACUCAGGCCGGCCUGAUUACAGUGGCACAAUUUGUACUAUUUUGCAAUAUUGAGUGUUUUAGAGUCUUGGGUCAAGUGACCUUUUCCUUUCUAGAGACAAUUAAGUGAAUAAAACAGGAGGUACCUGGACAGGUUUUAUCCAGGGAGCUUUGUCUACAAGAAUUAAAAAUCAAGAAACAAAGCAUGGUAAUAACAAGGGUAAUUAUGGGGACAAAGAG